GUUAUUGAUGUUUAGCAAGUUCCUAUUUUUUCUCUUUAAAUUUCUAUGAUUAAUACAUUGUGUUUAUAUCACAUUCAUUUUUUUUAUUUUUUAUUUUAUCACAUUCAUGUGAAGACAUAGAUUUAUUUUAUGUUUAUUAUGAGUCUUUUCAAAAUAAUGUAAUGAAUAGAUAUAAAGAAGCUCAUAUAUCUCUUACUGUUAUGUUAUUUGGAACGGUCAUAUUUCAACUUCUAUCAGGUUUAUCAAUGUCGAGCUUUAUCAUUUCUUAUCUUCUCAAGUUGUUAGAAAAACGUAUUUUAUAGUGAUGGUGGGAUUAACUUGCAUCACUGUCAAGUAUGAGGUACUCUGUUGUAAAUUGCUUCAGACUAUUGUUUGAAAUCAUUAUGUUUGCUUGGAAUUUUGUCAGCUUCAUGAAUGAGAUAGCCGAUAUUUUUACGAUAUAUACGUGAAACGAAGUUGUUCGUAAGAGGUGUUAUUUUGGAGUAAUGAUAGGAUAAGCGGAUCAGUUAACCAUACCUCAAAGUGUGAAAGGGAAUUUGUCAUUUAUUUUCCUAUCUUUUUUUUCUCUAUUACAUUAUACAUACUUGGGUGAACGACCUGUGUCCCCCUAGCAAGUUUCAUAUAUGACCAUAUCUACACAGAUUUCAGAUCUCGUUUCCAGUCCACAUGAAACGAAAGUUAAACUCCAGUUCCCCCUGAAACGAAAGUUAAAGAUCUCGGUCCCCAUAUUUUCUAAUUUCGUGGUUUAUUAUUGGUUUACUGUACCGGAAACAAUAUUAACCGAUAAAUAAAAACUUCAAAACCGGAUUUACCCAUAAACCAACCCGAAUUAGUACCCGUUAACCCCAAAAGUUCCCCAAUUCUAAAAAUCUCCAAUUCUAGAAAUCCCUAAAGCAACAAAAACCCUAGAAACCUAAUGAAGAAAAAAGGUUAGAAAUAAUCAGUUUUAAUCUUCAAAAAAUUGACAAUUCGGUUAAACAAAGUGAUGCUUUUACAUUUUUUCAAAAGUAAUUUGACUAAAGAAACUAAGUGUCAGAAUUCAGAAAAACAAAUUUAUUUAGAAAACUCAAAAUGAUUGGCUUUAAUCUUUCUCUCAUACGUCAACGAAGACGAAACUCUUGUGUUCAUCUUCUUUAUAUAUUCACCAUUAGCUCUAAUCCAAGUCAGAUCCAACACAUACACGAUAAAUUCCAAAAGCACUGCUUGGUUUUCUUCACACCAAGUAGGUUCGUACGGGUAAGAUCUUGACAUAGUCCAAGGCCAGAGAAUUCCAAUUCCAAAUCCGUCCAAAACCUAAAAAUCCUUUGUUAUAGCUUAUAUUCAUCGAAGGUAAGCAAAAGAGAUUUGGGUCAUCAUGAUUUUUUUGCUAUGUUUGUCAAUCGUACUCAUAUUAGAGCUCUGACUUAUGUUGAAGAUUGAAGAAAACAGACGUUGAAGAGAUGAAAUCGAAACUACGGUUCUAAGAUUUUUUAAUUUGGGGAUUCUUCUCAUUCGUAUUUAUUUGGGUAUUUCGGAUUGUCAAUGACUCGAAUCGGAUAUACAUUCGGUUUAAUCGACUGGGUUUCUGAUUUUGCAUCAGGUCGGUACAAUAAACCAAUGAUAAACCACGAAAUUAGAAAAUAUGGGGACUGAGGUCUUUAACUUUCGUUUUAGGGGGAACCUGGAGUUUAACUUUCGUUUCAUGUGGACUGGAAACGAGGUCCGAAAUCUGUGUAAAUAUGGUCGUAUAUGAAACUUGUUAGGGGGACACAGGUCGUUCACCCUUAUAUACUUAUAUCAUAAACUACCUACUUGAUCUCUCAUUAAUGUAAAUUGAUAUAAAGCAGAAUUAGUUGUUAAAAAAAAAAAAAUAAAUAAAUAAAUCUUUACAGGAACAUUCGUCGACCAAGAU
rnacentral:sRNA from 1 species